rnacentral:lncRNA from 1 species
UUUAUCUCCUGUUCUUAAACAUGUCAACAUUUGAGGGUACAAAAUGCACACUGCAUCAACUACAGCUACUAAAGACACAAUAGAAAAAAACAUAGUAAAAUGUUUAACCUUUAAUACCUUGGCUAUCUAGUUGUCAUGAAACGAUCAGAGAUCAGAGACUUUUACAUGAAGCGGAAGUAUCACAGUAGAGAGAAUACAGUUCUAUAUCAGUAAAAUACAUCCCUUCAGCGUGUUUUUCCCAGGCUACAGAGAGUUAGUGGUGAAAGGCUGCCACUUGUAGACCAGGACAUUUACAACCUCCAUUAUAGAGAAGAACAGUGCUUUAGUUAUACAUGGAUGGAUCCUCCAUUCCGGUUCUCACGGUUUCCAACCACAUUCAAUCCACAACACAGGGCCUGCGGUAACCAAGAUAAAAAGGGCUCAAUUCAGAGAUAUAGUCUGUUUGGAUGGAUCACGCUGCCUGAGGAGGGUGCUGCUUGUUCCAUGUAUUAAAAAAAACUUUCAAAACAGAAUCUUCAAACAUACCAAUCUGUGUCUUGCUCUGUUGUGGAAAAACGGAAAAGAAACCUUGAUGGAAAUGUUUCAUUUUUCCACCAACAGCUGCUAAACAAAAAACCCAGAUCUCUUCAUGUGCAUCUUUAGUUUCUUUGUUUAUUUGAUAAACCCUAUUUGCAUUUGGAAACAGCUUGGGUAAUUUGACUGGGGACUGACAAUUUGCCUGUAAGGAGAUAACUGUAGUUCAAACAUUUUCUCUCUGUCUCUUCUUUACUCUGCACUUGGCAUUCAUCAGUGUGUGUGUGUGUGUGGGGUGUGUGGGUUUAUUGUGAACAUCCAUGUGUUCUAGUGUCCUAUGUGUCAGCCUGUGUAUGAAGAUCUAUGAACAUGUGGUGUGUUUGUGUGACAGAGAGAAAGAGAAAGAGAGAGAACUCCUCAUUGCUGCAUGGACUUAAUGUGAGACAGACGAGAUGAAAGUACCACAGCAGCCCAUCAUUGGCUACCACUAUCACCAUAGAAACAGGCGUGACCUUAUAAAGGUCAUGGGGAGUUUGGGACAUCCAUACCCCAGUCAGCUGACAGGUCUGUUUUUGUGUAUCCCUUGUGGCUCAGUUGAUAGAGCAUGGCACUUCAACACUAGGGUGGUAGGUUCAAUUCCCAAGGGGGACUAUUAUACAAAAUGUAUCCUCCUGUAAGAGCGCCUGCCAAAAUGUAAAUAUCUGUGCGUUCCCUUGAAAACGUCUAUGUUGUGUAUUUUAACCCUUCAGAAUAAAAGCCUGAACUCUAUGGAAAGAUGAGGCUGUCAUGAACACGAUGGUGCUCUCCUACCUCCACAAGCCCCACCGGGACUCGUUUGUAUUACUAUUUGAUUCUUCUCACUUUUGUUUGUAUUUUCACUUGCUUUGGCAAUGUAAACAUAUGUUUCCCAUGCCAAUAACUGAAUGCCAUUGAAUUGAAAUUGAAUUGAGUCUCAGUGCUCAGUGAGAGAGAGAGCCUCAUGGACAAACUCAAUGGCAGACCUGAACAGCUGGAGAUCCACUCAGAGUCGGUCUCUUAAUGCAGUCCUGCCACACAUAAUGAACUGAGGCCCUGCACAGCAGGAUACAUUUUACUCAGGAGCACACAAGUAGUCUCGGCUAGCUAGCUAGCAUCUACUGCUACCUCCUAGCCACACAACAGAGCAACAACAAACCCACACUCAUCUCAACAAUCUGCCUUGAAGUCUGUUGAGUGUCUGUUAUGACAAUGUGCUGAUAUAAAAGUUAUUUGCGGAUCUUCCUUUCAUGGUUUUUAAAACAACAAUUGGCCAAUAAAGCAGCAGAUCAAAAGCUAACAGCCUACGCUAGCUCCACGCAUCACCUCAUUCUCCUCAGGGGGAGAUUUGGCACCUCACUGCAAAGCCCGGCAACACAAUUACCUCAGCCUAAACCUGUCAGCAGACUAUUACAGCAGCUCGUGUGUGUGUUCGUGUGUGUGUGUCAACACACCAUUACAGCCCAAGCCACCUAUUAUGGGGAUGGGGAAUGGAGUCCAAAGCCAUUGUAGUGAAAAGGUGUUGUCAGAUAUAGGCUGGCGGAAUGUGGCUACAGGGUAUUUGAUGGUGGAGGUUGGCCUAUAGAGCAAUCAUGGCUUCUAAAAACAUGGUUAAAUCUGUAGGUUCUCCUCAGCACCCUUAAUACUGAACACUGAUGGUAUGGUGCAGCUGAUGGAAGGUUCUGGAAGAACACUGAUGGUAUGGUGCUGCUGAUGGAAGGAUAUGGAAGAACACUGAUGGUAUGGUGCAGCUGAUGGAAGGUUCUGGAAGAACACUGAUGGUAUGGUGCUGCUGAUGGAAGGAUAUGGAAGAACACUGAUGGUAUGGUGCUGCUGAUGGAAGGAUCUGAUCUGGAAGAACACUGAUGGUAUGGUGCUGCUGAUGGAAGGAUAUGGAAGAACACUGAUGGUAUGGUGCUGCUGAUGGAAGGAUCUGAUCUGGAAGAACACUGAUGGUAUGGUGCUGGAAGGUUCUGGAAGAACACUGAUGGUAUGGUGCUGGAAGGUUCUGGAAGGACACUGAUGGUAUGGUGCUGCUGAUGGAAGGAUCUGGAAAAAGAUCAACGGAAAAACAUAAACAGAGGUUACAGUAGAUUAGAACUGAAAGAUGGUGCUCCAUCAUGCAAACAUUCUGAUGGAAAUAACAUUCUGAAGAUGGAUGGUGAUUGACCUUUCACCUUUAUUCCAGGGAUGUGUACAACUUUAGCCUAAAACAUAUAGUAACCUUGUCCUUACUGUAACAUCCACAUAAUACUUUUUGUUUUCCACUAGAGUGACUCCACAUUAUAUUCUGCAUUGUUUAAAACGCACUGAUUAAACCUCCUGUCCACACAACCUUACAGGUAGACAUGCAACAUAUUCCAUCCAGCCUGUAUGGUACAGCCUGAAAUAUAAACGUGGAGGUCCCCUCCCCUGUUCAAUGGAGCAUUCCAGGCAGCCCCUUUCCUCCCAAAUAGCCCUGAUGAGGGAGGCCCCCAGGGAGGAAGGGAUGCUAUGUGAAUCACCCCCAGUCAGCUGCUCUCUCCAUGGGCUCGGUUGGUCAUACCUGGGGGCCUCUGAAUGGAGCC